GGCCCGGUAGCGGAUGGCCUCCGCGUCUGCAUCCGAUCAAAGGGAACGGCAUAUCCGCAGGAUGCGCUCGUUCGAAUCGAGCUCGGGCCG